rnacentral:lncRNA from 1 species
GAUUGCCUUUGUAUAUGUUCCAGACCGUAUGAGUAUUUGGACCGUACGCGUACGGUCUGGACCGUAUGCGUACUUUUUCAAAAUACGCAUACGGUCGGACCGUACGCGUACGGUCUGAUAAACAUUAAGAAGUUAGUCAAGUUUAUUAGAUACAAAUGUAUAUAACAGAUCAACAGAACUUAUGUCUCAAAUUAAUAUAAAAAGUUCAAUAG